AUGACCUCUGUCUUAAUCACAAGAGAAAUUUGCUGUAAUGUCUGCUACCCAAUUAAGAAUGUUGCAAGGGGUCUGGGCAAACAGCUAGUCAUGCCAAAAAGGCCUGUGAUACAUCAAAAUGCACAACUCCCUUGGUUCCUCUUUGAACCCUGGCCAGUUUUGGGGGGGGAAACCAACAGGAGAAAGAGAAAACCUGAUGUUCUACUUGACUGUCGCAUAGAUUUGUUUAUUCAGUGGACUUUAGAGACCUCAACUACAAAGUGGAUGCACUGCUGUAGGGCUUCCCAAUUGCCAAGACAGGUUCUCCAAAUCCUCGCUGCAACUGGGGCACCACAACGACUGUGGAUCUGGAUGACGAGUAGGAUGUAUGUUGCUCCUAUACCUGAAGAUCAGAAAUUUAUUGCUGCCUUUGGAGAUGACUCUUCAACAAGAGACAUAUCUUGUCAAGUUGUGAACACCAAACAGGUGUGUACUGCAUACUGUGCUCUCAGAAGGUCUUCUGAUAAAGCUGGAGGAAGGCAAAGUAAUGAAAUUUAUCACCUCUUCCUGACAAACUUGAUCACAUCUGGCUAUGGAAACUUGAGCAAUUACAGGAGCUGAAACAGGAGCUUAUCAAAAUUUGAUCCAGGACUGCUUAAAAG
rnacentral:lncRNA from 7 species